UUGAGUUACCACCAACGAUCUGCUUCUCACACCAGCAUGUAGGUAGCAAGGGUGACCUUCUGUUCGGGAACCACUCCUAGGGUCUUGAAAGCCUUCUUCGUCUUUGCCAACCAGUACUGGGCAUUUUUAAAAGAGGAUUCCCCUACAAAAGUGGAAGGGUUCAAUUUCCUGUACCUCUCUACGUAGCCCAGGUCAAUCAAGGAAGGAGCUGGGUCUCGCGGAAGGGGGACUGGGCCGGGCUGAGGAUAAACUGGGGGGCCCUGUGGUGGCACUUACUAGUAUGGUGGGGGCACUGGAUUAUACUGUGGUGGUGCCGAGCAGUACUGUGGUUGGGGCACUGGAUUAUACUGCGGAAGUGGUACCGGGUGGUACUGUGGAGAAGCAGGCUCAUACCGGGGUGGCUCGGGAUCCUCUCGCUGCAGCAGUGGCU
rnacentral:lncRNA from 1 species